rnacentral:rRNA from 1 species
UACGUAGGGUGCAAGCGUUUGUCCGGAAUUAUUGGGCGUAAAGAGCUCGUAGGCGGUCUGUCGCGUCGGCUGUGAAAUCCCCGAGGCUCAACCUCGGGUCUGCAGUCGAUACGGGCAAACUAGAGUAUUGCAGGGGGAGACUGGAAUUCCUGGUGUAGCGGUGAAAUGCGCAGAUAUCAGGAGGAACACCCGGUGGCGAAGGCGGGUCUCUGGGCAAUAACUGACGCUGAGGAGCGAAAGCGUGGGGGAGCGAACAGG